rnacentral:misc_RNA from 1 species
AAAAAAAAAAAAAAAAACUUUUGAUGGUAUGAAACUCCACUCUAAAGCCAGCAAAGCAUGAAUAAGAAUUGUUUGAACAAAAAAGAAUCGGGCAAUGGAAAGAGAUCCGGAGGGAAUGGUUUCUAGCCUCAACGAUGAGUUUUCUGGCAGCCUUCAAUUCUUUUGGCCUUUGAGGCUACUAUUGCUGCCACUGCUAAUCCCUUGCAAGAGUACUUGUACUUGCCCUGCUGUUCCAUUACGUCGAGAGCCCAAUCGCAAUGCAACUUGAUAAAGAAAGGACGUGGAAACCGAGAUGAACCUUGCCUACGAUUAGCAGAAAGGAGAUCCUCAGAUCUUUCGUAAUCAAAACCUUGCUUGACAUCUUGAAGAUCAGAGAUUCUCGAUGUUAAAUGUAUGGCGCUGGAGACGAUCAUUUUGCUAUCCCAGUCCUUGCUAAAAAUUAUUUCCUAGCUUCUAGACCUCCAUAGAACAUAGAUAUUGGCGUUAGUUGAUGGUGCUUUUCUACUUCAAAAUUUCCAGCCAUCAUUCCACUGCUGUUUCUGCAGAUAAGGAAUCAUCAUUAGCUGCAAGAUUAGCCAACUAGUGCAAGCUCAU